rnacentral:ribozyme from 13 species
UUUUUUUUUUUUUUUUUUUUUUUUUUUUCUCUAAUAGAUAGUAGUUCACAUAACCCCACGAAGAAAG